rnacentral:rRNA from 1 species
AAAAAGCUCGUAGUCGAAAUUGUGUCCUCGGCCGCCGGUUCGUCGCUCGCGACGCUAACUGGCGCGCACGCUGGACGUCCAGCCGGUACAACGAACUCGCCUACGGGGUGCUCUUCAUUGAGUGUCCAGGCGGGGGCCGGCAACGUUACUUUGAACAAAUUAAAGUGCUUAAAGCAGGCUAAAUUGCGCUCGCAUACACGCGCAUGGAAUAAUCGAAUAGGACCUCCGUUCUAUUUUGUUGGGUUUUUGUGGAACGACAGACGGAGGUAAUGAUCAAUGGGUGCGGAUGGGGGCAUUCGUAUUGCGACGUUAGAGGUGAAAUUCUUGGAUCGUCGCAAGACGGACUUAAGCGAAAGCAUUUGCCAAAAACGCUUUCAUCGAUCAAGAACGAAAGUUAGAGGUUCGAAGGCGAUCAGAUACCGCCCUAGUUCUAACCAUAAACUAUGCCAGCUAGCGAUCCGCCGAAGUUACUUCUAUGACUCGGCGGGCAGCUUCCGGGAAACCAAAGCUUUCGGGUUCCGGGGGAAGUAUGGUUGCAAAGCUGAAACUUAAAGGAAUUGACGGAAGGGCACCACCAGGAGUGGAGCCUGCGGCUUAAUUUGACUCAACACGGGAAACCUCACCAGGCCCGGACACCGGAAGGAUUGACAGAUUGAGAGCUCUUUCUUGAUUCGGUGGGUGGUGGUGCAUGGCCGUUCUUAGUUGGUGGAGCGAUUUGUCUGGUUAAU